GUGUUUGGGAUCGUUCGCGUGUUGCGGCUCCAGCAGAGUCACCUUGCUUCGGCCGCUGCCGCUGCUGCUGUUCUGGGGAUAGAGCAGAGGAACCGACCGGGCCAGAGGCGACAGGAAGGCAGCUGGCCACCGACCGAACCGGGUCGACAUGGCGGAGACAAAGCCGAAGACCUCUCCGAAGGCCAUAAAGUUCCUGUUCGGAGGUCUGGCCGGCAUGGGGGCCACGGUGUUUGUCCAGCCUUUGGACCUGGUGAAGAACCGGAUGCAGCUGAGCGGCCAGGGCACCAAGGCCCGCGAGUACAAGACCAGCUUCCACGCUCUGUUCUCCAUCCUGAAGAACGAAGGACUGGGAGGCAUCUACACCGGCCUGUCUGCAGGGCUCCUCCGCCAGGCCACCUACACCACCACCCGCCUGGGCAUCUACACCAUCCUGUUUGAGAAGAUGACGGGAGCCGACGGACGGCCGCCCAACUUCUUGCUGAAGGCUCUGAUCGGGAUGACGGCCGGCGCCACCGGAGCGUUUGUGGGGACACCGGCGGAGGUUGCUCUGAUCAGGAUGACGGCUGACGGGCGACUUCCUGCUGACCAGAGGAGAGGAUAUACCAACGUGUUCAACGCUCUGGCUCGCAUCACCAGAGAGGAAGGGCUGACCACGCUGUGGAGGGGCUGUGUUCCCACCAUGGCCCGGGCGGUGGUGGUCAACGCCGCUCAGCUGGCGUCCUACUCCCAGUCCAAACAGGCGCUGCUGGACUCAGGGUACUUUGGAGACGACAUCUUGUGCCAUUUCUGUGCCAGUAUGAUCAGCGGUCUGGUUACCACGGCAGCAUCGAUGCCCGUCGACAUCGUCAAGACCAGGAUCCAGAACAUGAGGAUGAUUGACGGCAAACCAGAGUACAAGAACGGCCUGGACGUUCUGAUGCGGGUCGUGGGGAAGGAGGGCUUCUUCUCCCUGUGGAAAGGUUUCACUCCGUACUACGCCCGGCUCGGCCCUCACACCGUCCUCACCUUCAUCUUCCUGGAGCAGAUGAACCGCCUCUACAAGACCUACGUGCUGGACCGCUGACACACACCAUCACACACACCAUCACACACACACACACACCAUCAUACACACACACACACACCAUCACACACACACACCAUCACACACACACACACUGAGGAGGACGAUCCUCAGCGUCUGCAGGAGUUGCAGCAGCAGGUCCAUAUUUUGUUUUUCUGCUGCUUUAAAAUAAAAACUCACCUGAGAGAAACUUGGUGAGAUCAGUGUUAAAGCUGAACACACACACACACCAUCACACACACACAUCAUCACACACACACACCAUCACACACACACACCAUCAUACACACACACGAAGGGUUAAAGUUCUCCUGGCUGUGAUGUAAGCACCUUUCACUGACAUCAGAUUAUAAACCUGUGACCUCCGACCCCCAGCAUCAUGGUGUCACCUGGUUACCAUGGUUACCGAGUGGGAAAUAAAGCGUUUUUAUCCUCA